rnacentral:rRNA from 1 species
GACGAACGCUGGCGGCGUGCUUAACACAUGCAAGUCGAACGGAAAGGCGCGGCGUUUGUGGGGUGCUCGAGUGGCGAACGGGGGAGUAACACGUGAGUAACCUGCACUUGACUGUGGGAUAACUUCAGGAAACUGGGGCUAAUACCGGGUAGGAGCUCCUGCUGCAUGGUGGGGGUUGGAAAGUUUCGGCGGUUGUGGAUGGUCUCGCGGCUUAUCAGCUGGUUGGUGAGGUAGGGGCGGACCAAGGCUUUGACGGGUAGCCGGCCUGAGAGGGUGACCGGCGACCUUGGGCCUGCGGUACGGCCCAGACUGGUACGGGAGGCAGCAGUGGGGAAUCUUGCGCAAUGGGCGGACGUCUGAUGCAGCAAUGCCGCGUGCGUGAUGCCGGCCUUCGGGUUGUAAACCGCUUUGGCCUGAGACGUAGCGUGCGUGACGGUAAUGGGUAAGGAAGCACCGGCUAACUACGUG